rnacentral:rRNA from 1 species
UACGUAGGGUGCAAGCGUUGUCCGGAAUUAUUGGGCGUAAAGAGCUCGUAGGCGGUCUGUCGCGUCUGCUGUGAAAACUUCGGGCUCAACCCGAAGCUGGCAGUGGGUACGGGCGGACUGGAGUGCAGUAGGGGAGACUGGAAUUCCUGGUGUAGCGGUGAAAUGCGCAGAUAUCAGGAGGAACACCGGUGGCGAAGGCGGGUCUCUGGGCUGUUACUGACGCUGAGGAGCGAAAGCGUGGGGAG